GGUAGACUCGUCGUGGGGGCCUCACGUGCUGCUCAUUGGAUGUGAUUGAUUAUCAGUUUAUCGAUCAGUUCAAGGCUGAUUAUAUGAAACGUGGCCAGGGUUUGUUUUUUUAUCAUUAGUUCUUAAUUCCCAUGAUCCCCUGUGUUGCAAGGAGGCACGCCUCCACCCUGAGCUGGACCCGCAGCCCCUGACCACCGGGGGCAGUUUCAGUGGAGGGAGGCCUGGUUCUCUUACCGUGCUAAAUGCAUGGCAGUGAUCAAGCUGCACACGUGUUGGUGUGUUGGAGAUGACAGAGGUGUGAACGUGGUGGUUGAGGAUCUAUUUUGUGUGUGAACGUGUGAGUUGUCAAAGGCCAAACCGGCUCUGUUUGUCUUUUCUUGAUCCAGAGAGAGCCCCCUCUCUCCGGAUUGAUGCGUGGUGUAGUCUGGCCGGUCAUUUCUCCACCACAGCCAUGAAGAGGAGCCUGAAACUAGAGGAGGCUCCUGCUGCGGUCUUGCAGUCCCUGGAGGAAGUUCCUGAGGAGAAGAUGUUUUCUGAGGAGGAGAUGUUUUCUGUGGAGGUGGUGGUUCCUGAGGAGGAGAUGGUUCCUGAGGAGGAGGAGGAUGUUCCCAGCAGUGAGGAUGAGAGCCUGGAGGGGUCGGGGGAGGAAUUUCUGCCAGGCAAAGAGGAGCCCUGCAGCUCAUCGGAGGAGGAGGGGGUGGACUGGGAGGAGGUGGAGGAGGAUGACGGCACCUCUCCAUGGAGAUCAAGAAAUGGGGACAUCCUGUGGUCUCCCUCACAUGAAGAGGCCCAGCACUUCUUACCCCCUCCCAUCUUGACCCCGGGGCCGACUCACUUCGCGCUCGCCAGGAUCCCUGACACUGCGUUUGAGCUGUUUUUCCCCAAGGACACCCAGCAGCAAAUCCUGCACUUCACAAACCUGCAGGGGAGGAGAUGGCGCUCUUGGUUUAUAGAUAAAGGCUGAAGGACUGGCAGUGAAGUGUGCUCUCAAACCUUUGUUGAACAGACGGCUCCAUCCAGUGGCUUCAGAGAAUAAAGACAGUGCUUCAUGAAGCUUCAUCUGGCCAUCACUAGAGAACAGUCUGUAAUUAACGGUUUGAGAUGAGCUCCACCUCGACCAGCCACAACCGUAAAAAAUAUUCCUGCCUCUUAGUGACGGCGUGAGAGAGAUUCUGGGCUGCUGACGAUGUUUUAAACAACACUGAUGUUUCAUUAGUCUUUUGUUAAUAACCUUCUUCACUGAAAACUCAUUGACUCCGUGUUGGUUCUGACGGCCAACAGCGAACACUAACCAGCUCUCCCUCUGCUGAUAUUAACACGGAUCUGUUGUUCACAAUGUCACACUAUCAGGAAACCAUAUGGUGUGUCCUCUGACACCCAAUAGUGAGUUUACCGCCUCCUUUCAUCCCCACGUUGCAACAGGAACGGAAGAUCUCUGUUUGGCUCGGACACAUUUUCUGUUGUCUCCAGAACAACAGGACACAAAAUCGGCCACUGCCAUCAGCGAGUGUCCUCUUGUUUAGCCUGGCGACAGUUGACACAGCGAUUAUCAGCUGAUACUGAGAUGCAUUUACUGAAGUAACGUGUUCAGUGCAGGACUUUUCUUUGUGGAGGAGUAAUGUACAGUGUGGUGGUGCAGUAACAGGUCUGAGUACGUCCUCACCACUGAGUCUGAUGCAGUUAUUCAAGAUCUGGUUUAUAUGUUCCAGCUUGUUCAGCAUUGGACUGCUGAGGAUGUCGGCUUCACCUCUGGACUGUCCCUGCAGUUUGCACAAGGGUCAAACCAUGGACCUCCAGGGACACCGUACAGAAGCUGCUCACAAUGGAUGAUGCGACUUAUUCCUCAGGAGGUGGAAAUUCAUCAGCUCCAGUGAACCUGGGGACAGGGUUCCAGGCUGGCUGUGCCUUCAUCUUCUCCGUCCAGUCACCAGUGAUGGUGGUUAUUGACUGGGCGAACGUCUCGGUGGAUGAUUCUGUUGAUUCAGUACCUGCACCAAGAUGGUGGUGAUCAACGCCUGCACAGCUGGUGUGUAUGUUUUAGGAUUACAGUAUUUGUGCUGUUAAUAACAGCUGCUCUUGUCGCUGUGAUGACAUUAUUUCCUGCCAUUCGUAGUUUCCACCAGAGGUCUGACAGACCAAAGACGGUCCAAACCUUCCUUGGAUGUCUG